GGGAAGUUCUCUGAAAAAUACUAGGUACCGGAAAACCUUCGGACUGUACCUGGUGGAGAACAAGCUUGGCGGGUGUAGCUGGGGUGAAGCAUGGCCACACAGCUUUUGGGGUCCGUCGCUAUGCGGUGGAGACACUUUGGCUGGGCUGGCUGGUCAAAGGUGAAGUCUCAUGGCCUGGCAACAACAUGGAAACUUCCUCCCUCUCCAGAAAAUCUUCCUGCUUCUACCUGCUGUUGUCUGGAGAAUGUCCUUGAGUCUGGAGGACAGACCUUAUCUGAAAGUUGUCUCUGACCCAGAUCCCUGAUUUAUCCUUAACUGGAAACCUGGCACGGAUUUCUGUUAGAAGACUUGUACUAGGAGCUCUGCUAUAGGUUUCUGAUAUCAGCCUACCACUUGUUGCAAAUGAAGUCUUGUCCUUAGGCUCCUCAGUCCUAUAUAUUCCUUAUGUUAUAGAAUAAAGUUGAGA
rnacentral:lncRNA from 1 species